AAUGAGGAUCAUGAAUCUUUGUGUCUAUUGCACGUGAUCACAAGCAAUAUUAAUUGUGAUUUGUGUAAUUUACCCUCCCAAUGAUUUGUGUCUAUUGAAUGAUUGAGAAUUAGACAUAAAGAGGAACAACUUUUGUAGCCUCAACGCAAAUGAAUGGAAGGUUGGACAAGAUUGUUAAUUAGUUGAGUGAAUGUGAAGUUAAGGCGUAGAACACAACAUCUGAUAGAUAGAUAGAUAGGCACAAAUGCAAAUGGAAGUGGGACAGAUCAGAGAUAUGCUAAAUUGCGUACACGCAACGGCUACACAAGCUUUGCUGCCUCUAGCUUCCUCACACCUAAGGAUCUUUUGGCUAGGCAGAGAUCCACAGCCAUGGAGCUUGAGCUGUGGAAGUCUAGGAAGGAUUUAGAGGUCCAGAGACUUGCAGCUAUAGCUGUGAUUCUGCAGCUAUAGCUGUGGAAAUCUGGAGUGCUCAUUUUUUGUUCCAGAGAGCGUUGAGGCUUGGGAAAUCAAGAGAAGCCACAGAGACUCACAGCCAUGGCUGUGGUUCCACAGCUACAGCUCAGGAAGUUGCUUAAUAAUGAAGGAGUCUCCACAGCCAUGGCUGCAAAGCUACAGCUGCAGCGCCAGAAGUUACUUCACCUUGAAGGAUUCUCCACAGCCAUAGCUGUGGUUCUACAGCUGCAGCGGUGGAGUUAAAAAUUUCACUUUUUGCCCAGUUUUAGAGCUGAUAUAAAAGGGAAAAAGGAGGAGAACCUAAAAAAAGAAUACGGAUCACGAAUUUAACAGAGAAAAACAGGGGAAAAGCUUGGGAAGAAGGAAGAACGAAGGAAGAACAGAGACUUGGAAGCUGGAUCCUUUGGGAACGAAGAUCAACUCCAUUUCUUCAUCCUUUGCUUUGUAAUUUCUUCUUUUCACUCUUUGAUUCUGUAAUGGCCAUGGGUGGCUAAACUUCUUAAGGAUUGGUUAGAUGUAACUACUAACUCCUCUUCUUCUUAAAUAUAUGCAUUUUGAUCUCA